UAAUGCCAGUGGUGGAUGCCUUGGCAGAAAGAACCGAGGAAGGACGCGUCUACGACCGCGAUAACGACGGGUUGGUGUCUAUGAACCAUUAGCCGUCGGUUUCCGAAUGGGGUAACCCACUCCGUAAGGAGGGCUACUAUUUGAAGGCCUCGCAAGAGGGGAUAGGGUAGUAUGCGGGCACGUGCUGAACUGAAACAUCUAAGUAAGCACAGGAAAAGAAAAUAAUAAUGAUUCCCGUAGUAGCGGCGAGCGAACUGGGAAGAGGCUAAACUGCUUGUGCUCUGCACAAGGAAAUUCGAAAUCCGAAAUACGAAAUCCGAAACAAAUUCAAAUUUUUUAAAUCCAAAUUUUCUAAACAAGUCUGUUUUGAAUUUUAACAUUUAAAUUUUGGACAUUGUUUCGAGUUUCGAAAUUCGUGCUUUGGAUUUUCUCGCGCAGGGCGCGAGUGGGGUUGAGGGACUAGAAUGUGGUAUUGAUUGUUGAUAGGAGAACAGGCUGGAAAGCCUAACCAAAGAAAGUGAUAGUCUUGUAUCCGAAAUUGACAGUCAGCCUACUAGUAUCCCAAGUAUCAUGGGGCACGACACCCUGUGAGAAUCAGUGACGUCCAGCGUCAUAAGCCUAAACAUUCUUUCUGACCGAUAGCGAACUAGUACCGUGAGGGAAAGGUGAAAAGUACCCCGGAAGGGGAGUGAAAUAGUAACUGAAACCAUUGGCUAACAAACAGACGGAGUCCCGUUAGAAUUGUGGUUAUAAAGUUGAUCGUAUUGAGUUUGGCAACCAAGCCUCUCGAUACGGCCUCGGUUGUAACCAGAAUUCUAACGGGAUGACGUCGUGCCUAUUGAAGAAUGAACCGGUGAGUUGCUCUAAUACUGUGUUAACUUAAGCCACUUUGUGGCGGAAGUGAAGCGAAAGCGAGGUUUAAAUGACCGAAACUAGUAGUAUUAGGCAGACCCGAAGCCCGGUGAGCUAACCUUGAGCAGGGUGAAAGCCGAUGAAAAUCGGCUGGAGGCCCGAACUCGUUGUCGUUACAAGGACAUGGGAUGACUUGAGGUUAGAGGUUAUAUGCCUACCGAACCGGGGGAUAGCUGGUUCUCCCCGAAAUAUAUAUAGGUAUAGCCCCUGAAGAACUACUUUUUGCAGGUAGAGCACUGGAUGGUCCUGGUUGCGCAAGCUGUCAGGUCUAACCAAACUCCGAAUGGCAGAAAGUUUAUGCAGGGAGUCAGAAAGCGACGGCUAAGCGCCGUUUUCUAAAGGGAAACAGCCCAGACUCAAAGCUAAGGUCCCAAAGUCAGAUCUAAGUUAAAGGAUGUCAGAUCUUUAAGACACCCAGGAAGUUGGCUUAGAAGCAGCCAUCUUUUAAAGAAAGCGUAACAGCUCACUGGAAUAAAGGUCAGGCGCCGAAGAUGAUCGGGAAUUAAGAUCUGCACCGAAGCUUGAGAUCUUGUGCUCUGCACAAGGAAAUUCGAAAUCCGAAAUACGAAAUCCGAAACAAAUUCAAAUUUUUUAAAUCCAAAUUUUCUAAACAAGUCUGUUUUGAAUUUUAACAUUUAAAUUUUGGACAUUGUUUCGAGUUUCGAAAUUCGUGCUUUGGAUUUUCUCGCGCAGGGCGCGAGAUGGUAGGGGAGCGUUCUGUUCUAGGUUGAAGUCCGCCCGUAAGGGCGAGAUGGACGACGCAGAAGUGAGAAUGCCGGUAUGAGUAGCGUUAAAUCCCGGUGAGAGACCGGGACGCCGAAAGUCCAAGGUUUCCUCGGCAAUGUUAAUCAGCCGGGGGUGAGUCGGCCCUAAGCGUGAGCCAUUUGGCAUAGCGCGAUGGAUAACGGGUUAUUAUUCCCGUACAGUAGAUUGAUCGUUACAACUUAAGGGAGGACGAAGUGGAGAUAUCCUGGCCUGCGCAGUGAACAUCGUGGGCAAAAGUUCCGAAAUAGUGAUGAGUGGUAAACCCCUCAACAUGAUUAAUCGAGGAACGAUGUCGAUCCAAAAAGAAAUUUAGGAGAGUAGGAGAGUCUUCGUUUUCAAGAAAAUUCUCGUGAGGAGAUCAGUUUACUUCCGUACCAACAACCAACACAGGUGGACUGGUCGAGAAGACCAAGGCGAUCGGAAGAACUAUGCUUAAGGAACUCGGCAAAGCAGCUCGGCGUAACUUAGGGAGAUGCCGUGCCUUGUGCCUUGCACAAGGAAAUUCGAAAUCCUAAAUCCGAAAUUCGAAACGAUUUGAAAAUUUAAAUUUUGAUAAUUUGAAUUUGUUUCGGAUUUCGAUAUUCGGAUUUUCUCGCGCAGGGCGCGAGGCCGCAGCGAGUGAUUGCUAUGCAACUGUUUAACUAAAACACAGCUCUCUGCAAAGCCGAAAGGCAACGUAUAGGGGGUGACACCUGCCCAGUGCUGGUAGAUUAACGGUGGUGGUGACUGUCGCAAGAUGGAGGCCAUUGCCCGAAGUCCCAGUGAACGGCAGCAGUAACUAUAACUGUUCUAUGGUUCCGCCUGAAAGAAGGCGUAGCUGCCAUAGUGAGGUAUUCAAACCUCUUCUCGGUACCGAUCGCAAUCGAGUACCGGAAAAAACUUGACUAUAUGCUGGAAAGCCCGGAAGAAUCAGCAGUACUUGACCUAUAGCGAUAUAAUUAAGGUUGAGUGACAAUUUGCUGUGGAUGAGUGAUCAGCAGGAAAGGUUGGGUAAGAAAGUGACAGAAGAAGAGAAACAACAAAUUUAUGCAGCGCUAGGGGUUCACCCGGAUAAUGUUGGGGAAUCUCCUGGGCCGCCAGUGCGAAGAAAACGGCCUGAGGAAGAAGAAGCGAAGAGUGGGGGAGGGAAAGGGGAGAGAAAGAGAAGCGAUGGAAGUGUGCAUGACUUGGUAAAUGAUUUACUGAAGGACGUCACUUUAUAACCCAGAAAUCCUCAGAGACUAUACGUCAAGAUGAUGCACCGACUGGUGCGUUAAAGAUAUAGUCCAAACUUCAAAAUGGAAUUUGAAGAUUUUUGAGCGAAGUUCCUUGUCGGGUAAGUUCCGACCCGCACGAAAGGUAGAAUGACAUAGCGACUGUCUUGAGCAUAGGUCCGGCGAAAUUGAAAUGGCUGUGAAGAUGCGGCCUAGACAUACUUGGACAAAAAGACCCCGUGGAGCUUUACUGCAACUUGGCACUGUUGAGCUUAUUUUCAUUGUCUAGCAAUAGGUGGGACCCCGGCACUUUACGUGCCGCGGGGACAAUGUAAGACCACUCUUGAGAAUGAGGGAGACUAACUCUUGUCCCGUUAAAAAGUCGGGAAGAGGACAAUGUCUGGCGGGCAGUUUAACUGGGGAGGUUGACUCCUAAAUUGUAACGGAGUCGUACAAAGGUCUGCUAGUUCCGGAUGGAAAUCGGAAUGAUAGCGCAAACGCACAAGCAGGCUUGACUGCGAGACCUACAAGUCGAGCAGAGACGAAAGUCGGUGUUAGUGAUCUGGCUACUUGCUUACUGGUAAGCAGAGAGCUUAACGGAUAAAAGCUACCCCGGGGAUAACAGGCUGAUCGCCACCAAGAGUCCAUAUCGACGUGGCGGUUUGGCACCUCGAUGUCGGCUAUGCGCAAUGUGCGCAGGGGCCACUUAGCGAGCAAUUGCUAAGAAAAAAUAUUUAGCUCAUAACGGUGGAAUCCUCUGUAUACAUUCUCCUAGCUUUUUGCUAGAUUUUGUACAUGGACAAUACCGUGGGAAGUCGAGGAGUUUUGUCACAAAGACAAAGGGAAAUUUUAAUUGGUACACUUCUGGGAGAUGCACAUCUCGAGAAAAAUGGCCAAUAUAGUCGUCUGCGUGUUGAUCACUACGAGAAACACAAAGAUUACAUUUAUUGGCUGGCAAAUGAAUUUUUGCCAUUUUCUUUAGAGCCGAGACAGGUUUUUGAUUUCGACAAAAGAAAUAGCAAAACUUACUCUCGGUGGCAUUUUUCCACCAGAAGUUUACCCAUUUUUGAUGAGUUUAGAGAAAUGUUUUAUCUUAAUGGUAAAAAAAUUGUUCCAAAAUCAAUCUCUAAACUUUUAACUCCACUGUCUUUGGCGAUUUGGUAUAUGGAUGAUGGAUUUAGGAGGAAAGAUUCUAAGGGAUUUUAUCUUUGCACGUCAUCAUAUGCUUUGGAAGAACAGAAUGUAUUGCAAACCGUGUUGGAAGAUAGUUUUGGUUUGAGAACUAGAAUUCAUCACCAACACGAAUUGAUGAGAAUUUUUAUUCCUUCAGCAUUUGCAGAUCGGUUUAGUUCAACGAUUAAGCCAUUUGUUCUUCCUAUAUUUUCGUACAAACUACUCCUUUGACCCCGUAACGACUGCGUCCGAUGUAGCAUCGGACCGAUCCCGAUUAAAUCGGGAUAACAGGCUGAACAUCCCGCCAGGGGCGGGAUGAUGGUAUAGUCUAACCCUUAUGGAAACAUAAGAUAAGUUGCAUCGCAUCCUGGGGGUGGAGAAGCUCCCAAGGGUCCGGCUGUUCGCCGGUUAAAGCGGUACGCGAGCUGGGUUCAGAGCGUCGUAAGACAGCUCGGCCUCUAUCCAGUAUGUCCGGAGGAAUUUUGAGGGGAGUCCUUUUCAGUAAAUUUUUGCUGCUUUCCCACGUGAGUGGGAUUGUAAUAAUUGGCUGAUAACGGUGAAAUCCCGCACUUUUAAGUUUGGAUAUAUUGUAAAGUAAUAUGUCCACUUGGAGGUUAGUCUAUACUCGAGUAUCAUGAAAAUGAUAAAAGUACGGGACAAUACCGUGGGAAGUCGAUCUCAAACUGACUUGGCUUAUAUUGCAGGAUUCCUUGAUGGUGAUGGAAGCCUGAUGAUUCAGAUUAAGAAACGGGCAGGGAAGCUCGAAAGUGGGCGGUCCCGCUUUAUGUUGACGAUCUGUUUCUAUCAGGACACGCGCCAUGAGGAACCUUUGCAUUUAAUCCGUGAGAUUCUUGGAAUUGGAUAUGUUUCCAGAAGAAGUGAUGGCAUGUCCGAACUGAGAGUGAAUGGAUUUAGGCAAGUCAAAGAAGUUCUUUUAAUGCUUUUGCCAUACAUAAAGUUUAAAAAGAAACAGGCAAAUGCAAUAAUUCACGCAGCAGAAUUGCUUUCAGCUCUAGGCAGAGGUGAGCAAGUUCUUCGUGAUUUAGUUGAGAUAAUCCUUCUUGUGCAGAGCGAAAACUAUGUUACAAGAAAGAAAAGGUCUCGUGAGGAGCUUCAAACAGUUUUAGGUUUGACCCCGUAACGACUUGACUCUGCACCUUAUGGUGUGGGGCUUAGCGAGAUAAUAGUCUUGCUAAAACGCCAAGACCUCACUUUUUAGAUAAAAGUGUGGUCAAGAUAUAGUCUGAGCACAUAGUGAUAUGUGAUAACUUGACGAGAGGACCAAAAGGAACGAAUCCCUGGUGUGCCAGUUGUUCCGUCAGGAGCACCGCUGGGUAGCCACAUUCGGAAUGGAUAAGCGCUGAAAGCAUAUAAGCGCCAAGCCAACCCCAAGAUUAGAAUUCCAAGCCACGCAAGUGGCGAGAGAUGCCUGGAAGACUACCAGGUU
rnacentral:rRNA from 1 species